CAGCACCUCAAGUGGUCAGGAUGAUUAUUGGGCCUAAAGCGUCCGUAGCCGGUUUAAUCAGUCUUUUGUGAAAUCGUUGGGCUUAACUUAACGUUGUGCAAGAGAUACUGUUAAACUUGAAACCGGGAGGAGUCAGAGGUAUUCUGGGGGGAGCGGUAAAAUGCUAUAAUCCCCGGAGGACCGCCUGUGGCGAAAGCGUCUGACUAGAACGGCUUUGACGGUGAGGGACGAAAGCCAGGGGAGCGAACCGGAUUAGAUACCCGAGUAGUCC
rnacentral:rRNA from 1 species